rnacentral:rRNA from 1 species
GACGAACGCUGGCGGCGUGCUUAACACAUGCAAGUCGAGCGGAAAGGCCACUUCGGUGGUACUCGAGCGGCGAACGGGUGAGUAACACGUGAGUAAUCUGCCCUUGGCUUUGGGAUAGCCACCGGAAACGGUGAUUAAUACCGGAUACGACCACUUCUCGCAUGGGAUGGUGGUGGAAAGUUUUUCGGCCAGGGAUGUGCUCGCGGCCUAUCAGCUUGAUGGUGAGGUAAUGGCUCACCAUGGCUUCGACGGGUAGCCGGCCUGAGAGGGUGACCGGUCACACUGGGACUGAGACACAGCCCAGACUCCUACGGGAGGCAGCAGUGGGGAAUAUUGGACAAUGGGCGGAAGCCUGAUCCAGCAACGCCGCGUGAGGGAUGACGGCCUUCGGGUUGUAAACCUCUUUCGGUGGGGACGAAGCGCAAGUGACGGUACCCACUAAAGAAGCACCGGCCAACUACGUGCCAGCCGCCGCCGUAAGAC